AGUAUAAACCAAACCGAACAUUUU
rnacentral:siRNA from 1 species